UACGGAGGAUGCAAGCGUUAUCCGGAAUGAUUGGGCGUAAAGCGUCCGCAGGUGGCUAUGUAAGUCUGCUGUUAAAGAGUGAGGCUCAACCUCAUAAGAGCAGUGGAAACUACAUGGCUAGAGUGCGUUCGGGGCAGAGGGAAUUCCAGGUGUAGCGGUGAAAUGCGUAGAUAUCUGGAGGAACACCGGUGGCGAAGGCGGCAUCCUGGACCGGCAUUGACGCUGAGGAGCGAAAGCCAGGGGAGCAAACGGG
rnacentral:rRNA from 1 species